CAGUCGCCACGGGAAUACGUAGGUGGCAAGCGUUGUCCGGAAUUAUUGGGCGUAAAGCGCGCGCAGGCGGCCUCUUAAGUCUGAUGUGAAAGCCCCCGGCUCAACCGGGGAGGGCCAUUGGAUACUGGGAGGCUUGAGUAUAGGAGAGAAGAGUGGAAUUCCACGUGUAGCGGUGAAAUGCGUAGAGAUGUGGAGGAACACCAGUGGCGAAGGCGACUCUUUGGCCUAUAACUGACGCUGAGGCGCGAAAGCGUGGGGAGCAAACGGGAUUAGAUACCCCUGUAGUCCCUGUCUCUUAUAC
rnacentral:rRNA from 1 species